UGGACGCACCGGCUGGUUGGGAGCGAGCUCUUACAGAACGUUUUCAUGGUGUUUUUCCGGAUGCUCCGGAUCCGGUAUGGGAGCAUCACGGACCUAAGUAUGAGUGGUUGCUAAAUUUCCGGGUAAUUUCCCCUACCUAUUAUCUUCAAGUUAUCGUGCAUAAAGUUUUACAGAAAAUAAUUGCGGCUUACUAAAACUUUCUCUUCGCUUAAUGCAGAUCCAGAACUUCCGGGCGCCGUUGACUGCGGAACAGAUCACUCGGAGCCUGGAGGCCUACUUACUGUGGCUUUUCGGCAAGGUGAUGUUCACGGAGAACCAUGUCACCACUAUUAGCGCCCUCUACAUCCCUAUGGCACUCGAGAUAGCGAGCGCUCAGACGGCGGAUCAGAUCAGACAGAGGAGUUGGGGUUCGGCGGUCUUAGCGGCUACAUACCGAGAGACGCUUUGCUAGUGAUCAGACCAGGAAGGCAUACACAGCAUUGAACGAGCAGUUCGAUGCGUACACCGGGGUCAUCUGGCAGCCCUACACGGAAGCAGCCAUACAAGCGAGAUACCCUGCUGGUAUGUCUGUGCUAUGCACAAGGGACCGAGAUUACUGGAUGACAAAAUCUAAGAUCAUCUUCGAUGUCUUCGUCGAGGAGAUGGCACAACAGAGGGUUAUGAGGCAAUUUGGUCUUCUGCAGUUGGAGCUACCUCCCCCUAUAGAGAACCCGCUGCCAGCACACAUCCACAGGACGACAAGGAAGGGCAUGAACAGGACAACUGCUGACUGGCAAGUUAGACUAGAGCCGUAUGUUAUAGAAUGGGAGACAGCAAACACAAAUCUAUGGAACGAGAAUCACAAUUUCGAUCUCGAUGAAUUCAAUCUCUAUUUGCGGCGCUACAUGACCGGAACACGGUUACGCAUUGUUGAGUACUCCCACCCAGAGGAGAUACCGGAUCCUACUCCGUCGGAUAUGUACCCGAGCUAUGAUACUUCCGGCUCUAGGCAGUACGUGGUAAGAUAUAUUUUCUUUACGUAAUGUUGUCACAUACUUUGACGUGCAAGAGACAGACAUUAAUUAAUCGUCAUGGAAAUUUGCAGGCUACCUUGACACGCGAACUCUACGACGAUGUGACCACCUUUGGACGAUCACUAUCGUCUGGACCUCUUCUUCACCAUCGUCCAGUGGUACAACCCUUCUUGGAAAGAAUUCAGAAUAAGAUACGGACUGUGUACGAGGCUAUCACGUGCACCCGGAGAACCGAUGUUGUUCAGCACCAGCAGGAGCAGCCGCGUCACUCCAUGCACCGACAUCAACCACGUCCACGUCUAGCACCUCAGCCGACAGCCAGGCCACC